CCUACGGGAGGCAGCAGUGGGGGAUAUUGCACAAUGGGGGAAACCCUGAUGCAGCGACGCCGCGUGUGGGAAGACGGUCCUCUGGAUUGUAAACCACUGUCCCCAGGGGCGAAGAUGACGGUACCUGGGGAGGAAGCUCCGGCUAACUAAGUGCCAGCAGCCGCGGUAAUACGUAGGGAGCGAGCGUUGUCCGGGAUUACUGGGUGUAACGGGAGCGUAGGCGGGUAUGCAAGUUGGGGGUAAAAACUACCGGCUCAACUGGUAGUCGCACUCAAAACUGCAGCUCUUGAGUGAAGUAGAGGCAGGCGGAAUGCCUGGUGUAGCGGUGAAAUGCGUAGAUAUUAGGCGGAACACCAGUGGCGAAGGCAGCCUACUGGGCUAUUACUGACGCUGAGGCUCGAAAGUGUGGGGAGCAAACAGGAUUAGAUACCCCAGUAGUC
rnacentral:rRNA from 1 species